rnacentral:snRNA from 1 species
GGAUGUGAGGGUGAUCACCAGGGUUGAUUCAGCUGAUCUGGCUGGCUAGGCAGGUGUCCCCUUCCUCCCUCACUGCUGCAUGUACAUCCUUCCCAAAGCUGUGUGUUCAAUGGAGGAAGACAACCUUCCCUGAUACAGGAGAACCAUUCUUUGGUCAAGGGUAUAUGAGUAGCUGUUCUCCCCUACUAGAACCUCCAGACAAGCUCUCAAAAUGCAGCCGGUAACUAUUUUUAAAAUUCUACAGAUUUUUGAUGCUUUUGU